GUGCUAAUUGGGACUGGGAAGGGUUUGCCAAGGAUUGGAGCUGCAGACUCCAGUGCUCAGAGCAGCAGGAUGGCACUUGGUGUCUGGAUGCCUUUGGAGUUGCACAUACAGCUUCUUUAUGAAAGGAAGAAACUGGAAGACAACAAAGGCUGCAUCUUGGGGCUUCUCUGAGGACUCCUGUUUCCACCAAUACCUACUUGUUGUGGUCCUCACUUUCACAGCCAGAUGAAAACGGACGUUUUGACAAUGGCUCACAGAUUCCUGGAGAUGUCUGGGAGGAAGCAGAAAGAAGCAAGAAGGCAUCAAAACUUGAAAAGAGAAAAACCCUGAAUCAGUCAACAGAUAUCCAACAGAAAACAUGGGAGAAGAGGGAUAUGACGCCAGCAGCUAACACUGGGAAAGUUCAGAUCAUCUCUAAUAAUAGAUCUUUAUAAACAACGAGUGGCAGAACUCAGAGAGUGGGAGAGUGUUCCCUGUCUAUAAUCCAGCCACAGGAGAACAGGUGUGUGAAGUUCAAGAAGCAGACAAGGCAGAUAUAGACA
rnacentral:sRNA from 1 species